UAGAAACUAAUAAAGAAAUAUUUAGAAAUAGAUCUGCGAUUGAUCUCAAAGACAAAUGGAGAAAUUUGGUCAAAAGGUGAUGUUUUGUAUCAGAAGUAAAUACAGAAGUACAUAGUGAUGGCUUAGGUUUAGCUUUUGUGGUAAAAUAGCAAUGGGAUGGAAUGCUGGUGAUGAUUGAAAUCGCAGUGGUUUGGUGUAUGAAAUUCCAUAUAUAUCUUCCCCCUUUUUUUGUUUGUUGGUGCAUGUAUCUUCCCACUUAAGAAUAGUUUGUUGAGGUUGAUGACAUUGAGAAAAUGGCCCCUAAUCUGGAUUUGUUA